UACGUAGGGGGCAAGCGUUGUCCGGAAUCAUUGGGCGUAAAGCGCGUGUAGGCGGCUCGAUAAGUCCGUUCUGAAAGUCCAGGGCUCAACCCUGGGAUGCGGAUGGAUACUGUCGAGCUCGAGUCCGGAAGAGGCGAGUGGAAUUCCUGGUGUAGCGGUGAAAUGCGCAGAUAUCGGGAGGAACACCUAUUGCGAAGGCAGCUCGCUGGGACGUAACUGACGCUGAGACGCGAAAGCGUGGGGAGCAAACAGG
rnacentral:rRNA from 1 species